UACGGAGGGUGCGAGCGUUGUCCGGAAUCACUGGGCGUAAAGGGCGCGUAGGCGGCCUGAUAAGUAGGGGGUGAAAUCCUGCGGCUUAACCGCAGGGCUGCCUUCUAAACUGUCAGGCUAGAGCACAGUAGAGGCAGGUGGAAUUCCCGGUGUAGCGGUGGAAUGCGUAGAGAUCGGGAGGAACACCGGUGGCGAAGGCGGGUCUCUGGGCAAUUCCUGACGCUGAGGCGCGAAAGCGUGGGGAGCAAACGGG
rnacentral:rRNA from 1 species